GCUGCGCGCGGCCGGCCGGGGCCGACGGUGGGGACGGGGCCUGGCAGAGGGGAGCGGAGCGAGCGGGCACUGGCGCCGCGCCCGCCUGUCCCGCGAGGCCGCCAGCGCCGCGCCAUGGAAGAGGGAAAGUACCUGCCCGAGCUGAUGGCCGAGAAAGACAGCCUGGACCCCUCGUUCGUGCACGCCGCGCGCCUGCUGGCCGAAGAAAUUGAAAAAUUUCAAGGUUCUGAUGGAAAAAAAGAAGACGAAGAAAAGAAGUAUCUUGAUGUUAUCAGCAACAAAAACAUCAAGCUCUUGGAAAGAGUCCUGAUCCCUGUGAGACAAUACCCAAAGUUCAAUUUUGUGGGGAAACUGCUUGGACCAAGAGGAAACUCCUUGAAGAGGCUACAGGAAGAAACAGGUGCUAAAAUGUCUAUCCUGGGCAAAGGAUCCAUGAGAGACAAAGCAAAGGAAGAAGAACUAAGGAAGAGUGGGGAAGCUAAAUAUGCCCACUUGAGUGAUGAACUUCACGUACUGAUUGAAGUGUUUGCGCCACCUGGGGAAGCCUAUUCACGCAUGAGUCAUGCAUUGGAGGAGAUUAAAAAGUUCCUGGUUCCUGACUACAAUGAUGAAAUUCGUCAGGAGCAGCUACGUGAAUUGUCUUACUUGAAUGGCUCGGAGGACUCUGGUCGUGGUAGAGGGAUCAGAGGCAGAGGGAUCAGAAUAGCUCCCACAGCUCCUUCAAGGGGCCGCGGGGGUGCCAUUCCGCCUCCCCCACCUCCUGGACGAGGUGUCCUCACCCCUCGAGGGACCACUGUGACCCGUGGAGCUCUGCCAGUGCCCCCCAUAGCGAGAGGGGUCCCUACCCCUCGAGCUCGGGGGGCACCAACAGUGCCCGGAUACAGGGCACCCCCACCUCCUGCCCACGAGGCUUAUGAAGAAUACGGCUACGACGAGGGCCACGGAGGACACUAUGAGGAGCAGAGCUAUGAGGCCUACGACAGCAGCUAUGCCACACAGGCGCAGAGUGUGCCUGAAUACUAUGAGUACAGCCACGGAGUGAGUGAGGAUGCCUAUGACAGCUACGCACCAGAAGAAUGGGCCGCCACCCGCUCCAGCUUGAAGGCGCCACCUCCACGGUCAGCCAGAGGCGGGUACAGGGAGCACCCCUAUGGUAGAUAUUGAAGGUCCGUCUCCCCCGUGACCUCACCUCAGACAGUGCAUAGCCUUGAUCUCCACAUAAACAGCAACGACACAAGUAUGCACAAGCAAACAACACAUAAUUGAAUAGCAAGAUGUUAUGGACUAAGAAGGAAAGAGGUAAGGUUAUUUUUUGUCUUCUUUGAAUUAGAUAAUCUUUAAUAACACGAAAUUGUGGUACAGCAUGAAGCUAAAGCAGUGGGCUAAAACAUUAAAUGCCGCUUGUUGAAAUCUGAAAAAGAUUAGAUUGUUGUCAAGGCAUUGAGUUAUUUUUAUCUUUGCAAUAAAGAUCUGAUUUGGCAUUUACUGGCAGAGCUUUCUGAAUUUAUUCAAAAGCUUGCCAAAUGAAACAAGAAUUUGUGGUUAAUCUUUAUCCCUUUUCUUUUCUAUGAACUACUGCCCCUUCUAUGGUACUACUCUCCUUAACUGCACUAAAAAGUAUCAGUGCUUUUACUCUGCAGUCAUGAGAAUGAAGUCAGAUCAUUGACUAAGACAAAGGAGGGGCAACUGCACAACACCCAGCCCGAUGCCUAUGUCCUGUCAAUGAGUUAACAUAAAAUAACUAAGCUUCACCAUUAUCUUUCUCACUCAUCCCACUGACUGAUCAGCAGGGUCAUCUUUCUCAUCUGCCAUUCUGUUUAACUAACAGUUACUGAGUACCAAGUACUACUGCAAAUUGAGACUUGCUUUCAGUGCACAGGGAGCUGAAAGUGUUAGCCAGUAAGCUUCAGCUGAAAGCGGCGCAAGGACAUCUGUCCGGGGUACAGGCUGCGCUGACAGGAGAGCUACAGCGGACUGGCAUGACGUUCAAAGAGGUAAAUAGAAAAUGACGUUCUGUACCUGGCCUGCUCUGUAUUAUUUGGGUAUCUGUCACCAGCCUGAGGAAGAGCUGCAGGACACAAAUGCGGGGCCUGAUGAUUCCAGGGACGGGAAGGACAGAGACUGUCGGAGCCAUCAAGGUGGACGGAGAGGACAGCAGUGAGCAGAACCCAGGACUGAGGAUGAGAGUGCCUCUGGGGAAGGGAGGGGCUCUGUGGUUCAGAAGCAGCAGACCAGAGCCCUGGACCCAGGUGGUGAGGCACACUGAGGCACAGCCUGCCUCCUCCUCCCCAGUAGCCGAGACUACAGGCGGUCACUAUCUUAUUUAACAUCAGAGAUCUAAGUUACAGAAAUUCUGAAAGUAUAUUUUCCAGUAACAUCCUCAGUCUGAUUUGAUCAUUUAAAAAGUUGCUGUUUUUGUAAAGUGAAAGGAGAAAGCAUCUCUAAGCCUGAUAUCCUGCUUAUUUUUCUCCUUGUCCUUGUCAACCAAUAGGCUUGAUUUAGUAAGCAAUGAAGGAAAGCCCAGCCACUCUGUUAGCUUUUCCAUAUAUUAAUCCACAUGAUGGAGUUGUUUUGCUGUAGUCAUUUGAUGGUUGCUGCAGUCUUGUAGCUCUGGGCUCUCUCACCAUGCAGACUAGAUCUUGGCAUGCAGUAACUGCUGGCAGAAACAUUAGUGCUCAACAAGAGAAAAGAACUGUAUUUAAAGCUCACAAACAAAUACCUGCAAGGAGGAGGACUUUGAGGUUCAAAAGCGUGCAUUUUGAGCAACAUAGCCCAGUGAAGUUUGGACACAAAGCUUGUAUGUUAAACAGUAGACUCAAAAGGCAUCCAUCUACCUGUGUCCAUAUGGGUAGAACCUAAGAUUGUCAAGGCAGAGAAGAAAGCUGAAGAGGAGCAAUAUCUAACACGUGAGUGGGAGCUGGAGUAUGGGUUGUGUAAACAGGUCAUUCGCUCUGCAAGGCCUUGGGCAGGCUGGGAACACAGAGGUCUUUGUCUGAGUGGGGCUGGGCAGAGCAAGCUUCUGAUGCAUGCACCAGCCUAAGCCUGGAGCCAGGCGAAGGUGUUCCCAGUGCUGCCCAGAGGAGAGCAACUAGGUGUGGCCAAGAGGGGCAGAUGCACGCAGUGCUGGGGUGGUGCAGGGGCUAACCAGGCUGCAAAUGCGGCCACAAUGCGGCGUUCAAAAGGCAGAGGACCUCCUGCUCCUGUCACCAGCCCUCCAGCACUUGAGCACUUGCUUGACUCUCAUGGUAAUUAGAAAUGAAUCCAAAGCCACUCAAGGAGUGGUCCUGACAAGUAAAUUUGUGUCGAAUCAGAGCAAGCCUUCUCCAGGUGGUACAGAGAUGACACAGGGUUCACCUGGCUCACCUCAUGACUUCACGUCCACUCUGGGACUGCAUAGCGCUAUGUCCCAAGGUGGCACACAUUUCUCUGACUGCCCCCAACCCUGCAGGUGGCACAAACAUGUGUGGCACUGCCAAGGUUAAAGGACAAUUCAUUCCGAGUGUAUUUUGAAAUUGCUGUGUGCAUGUUCGAUCCAUUCUUUCAGAUAAUGUUGUGACCCUUGGUCCACCGAUGACCCUGUGACAGUGUGACCUCCCUAAAACCACUGAGGGAGUCGGCUUGGGCAUGAAGCAAGUGGAGGAGAAAAGGUCACUCUACUUAAUAUGCUGUUUUACAUCUCGGCUCCUCACACUUUGUCCUGAGACGAACAAGGAGGCUGCCUCAUCAGCCACUGGGUGCCUUAACAGCAUGCAGCUUACCUGCCUUCACCUCCUUACUCUAACACAGUGAACCAGCUUCAAACUUGAGCCAGCCUUCUUGCCACUCAAGACAGCCUUCAAGUUCUUUGUUGCCAUCUCUGAUACUUAGCACCUUAUGUCAUUUUCCCAACAGCGGGUGGGCAGGUAAGAGAACAAAGAGAACGCUUCAGUUUUUGUGUUUAUUUGGGAAAUGUCUAUUUAGAUACUUGCAAAUUUUCAUUCCUUUAUUCAUUUAUAUUUAAAUUUAUUUUUAGCUGAUACAUAAAAACAUAAAAAUUAUAUAUGUAUAUUAAUGGGUGGCAUGUUUAUAGCUGAAAAGUACUCCAGAGUCUAUGUGUGCCAGUUUCUGUAUCCACCCAUCAGUGAUAGACUCUUAGGUUGCUUCUAUCUCUUGGCUACUGUGAAUCAGCCAAGAGCAGAGGGAUGCACUGUCCAGUGUCCUGAUUCCAUCUCAUUUGGAUAACCCUCAGUAGCAAGAUUGCUGCACCUUAGGGUGAUUUUCUUUUUGAUGUGGAUUUUACAUACUGUUUUUCAUAAUGGCUGCACUAAUUUACAUUUCCACCAAUAGUCCACAAAGGUUCCCUUUUCUGCAAUCCUCACCAACACUAAUAUCUUCAGUCUUUUUGAUAUUACCUACUUUAUGGUGGAAAGGUGAUGUCUUGUUCUGGUUUUGAUUUGCAAUUUUCCCUAUUAUCAGUGAUGUUGAGCAAUUUUUCGUAUUGCUAUUGGUCACUUGAGCACUGAUUUGUAAAAUAAGUAUUGUCACAUUCCUCUGAGAAACUUCUCUGAAAUCCAUUUAUCAUUGAUAAUCUCCAAAAAGGAUGAAUUGGUUUAACUCAUUAAAGACUUUUGAAAUUUGUAGUUAGUAAUCACACAGGCACAAAUAAUGUUUAUCUUAGAAUAAAGCAAAAUUGACAGUGAAUUGGUAGUUUUGUGGAGAUGUUCUAUUUUUGUGUUACAUGUUUUCUUUUUUAUGAUUACAAAAUAACUAUAACUAGGGUAAAAAAGAGUGUAUAAUGUAAAAAUCAAAAAAUUGUAAUUUCACCCCGCAAAGAUACUUUUGUUAUAGAUUGACGUGUAGUCCCUCUGAGUUCCUUUGUCUUCUUUCCUUUCAUUCUUCCAGUGCUGUUCUUUACUUACUUACUUACUUUAAAUGGGAUGCUUCUAUAUGAGUAUUUGCAAUUUUAAUUUUCAGAAAUGUGUUCUGAUUUCUUGUAACAAAUAAGCUAGUGCCCACUUCUAUAAGGUUGGUGUGCAUGUGUCUGUGUAUGUGUGUGUGUGUGUGUGUGUGUGAUUGAUUAAAGCUGCAUUAAUAGACUCAGAAACUAAACAAUAAGGCUUCUAUAGAAUGUAAGCAAAACUACUUUAACUUUUCCAGCUGCAGUUUCCUCAUAAGUAUAAUCACAACUACACAUAGAAUAUGAGAUAAAGUAAAAUGACCAGGGUCAUGUAUAUCCUCACAGAUUUUUGUUAAUGUAUUUCCCUAAACUAGUUACUUUUAUUGUCUAAAAACUUUAACUUUCAGAUAGAUAUCUUCAUAGUGUAGAUAAAAUGUGUAAAUGAAGGUUUAGUCCAUAAAAUAGUCAUAUUAUCCAAAUCAAUUUGCACCGUAAACUUUUUUGUUUUUUGGCACGAGGGAUCAAACUCAGGACCCUACACUUGCCUGGCAGGCACAGAGCCACUGAGCUACAUCCCCAGCCCUAAACAUUUUUUUUUAAAUAUCCUCGAUAUACAGUUAAAAGACACUAGAACACAGUUGUUUAAAAGUUCAUUAUAUUCAUAAGCAACAUACAUCAAGUAUCUUUAGAGUAGGCAUUAAGUGUUUACACACAAGAAUCAUACAGAAUGCUGCAUAAGUAUUGCUAGCAUUGAAAUAGGGCUAAAAUGACAGAGAGCCUACCAAGAAUUUGAUGCAAUGCUUUUCUAAUGAGAAAAUGGAGCAAAAGGUAUUUGCAAUGAUGGAGUACACAAUGCAUGUCACUGGGUGAAGGGUUUUUAAAAAUUACUUGGGUUAUUUUCUCAACAUCUCUGCAUGAUAUAUUUGCUAUCAACUCAAGAUCCUGAGUCCUGCCCAAUGUCCUGAUCUCCAGAGAUAAUGCCUGAUUGCAUCUGCCCAUCCACCACUAGACAAGUUUCCCUUACUGAAGAACAGAAUUUAGCCUUCAUGCAGCCUGAGAAAUCCUACAUAACCAAAUAAUUGAAUUCAAUGAAAAAUGAAAAUCAACUAGAAAAUUAUGUUGCUAGAGAAAUAAUUACAGUCACUGAUCUUUUUUGGGGAGAACAUGCUCUAUUGUAUUGAUCUGUCUCAUUCUGUAUUACUGCAAAAUAAGAUGGAUUUUCCAGCUGUUGUCUUUUCCUGGUGAACACAAUAUUGAAAUGCUUGUUGCUCUUUAUUAUACUGAGUAAGAUUCUAAAAUGAAAAUGAAUAUAAGAAGCAAAAAUAGAUUUGCAAAGAAAAAUAAUAUAGCUAGAAGGCUGAUAAAGAACCAUUAGCUAUGCUGAGAUGAAACAGGCAGCAACAUGAAAACCAGAAGGUGGUCUACCUACAUCCAUAUAGAAAUAAUACAUCCUGAGAGCUAAAGCUUCUCAUGAGUCAACAUUUGUGCAUUUUAUCACUUCAAGCAAUAGAUUUAGAAAUUUAAAAUAUGCUUUCUUGUUACACCAAAUAAGCAAUAUCCUACUACUCAAUAUGUCUUGAACUUCUAUUGUCUAGUCCAUAACAAUUCUUUUCUGUUCUUUCUUUGUUUAAACUCCUGGAUUCAAGUGAACCUCUUGCCUCAGCCUCCUGAGUAGCUGUGACACCACAGCUGGCUCUGAACAAUUAUUUUUUAGACCACUGAACUUUCCCUUCAAACUUUUUUAUGGAAAAUUUAUGUGUUAAAUAUGUAUAUGUCUCUAAAUAAAACACAAAACUUUAUACCAGCCUCUCACAGGGUAUGGUAAUUAAAAUUCAUGUUUUUUUAAGAAAAUUACAAUACUGCACGUGAAUACCUUUGGAAUUGUUUGGAAAUAUUAAAAUAUUGAAGUACUAAAUCUGUGGAUACUAAAGGUAUGCUGAAGGAAUCUUACUACACUGUUCUAUAAACAUAUUGAUGUUUAAGAGACACUAUCCUUCAACUUAUUACAAAGAGUCCUGAAUCUUUGUGUACUCUAGCCAUUCAGUAAAAAAUAUACCCCCUUGGACACAUUAAUUCUACAAUAUACCAAAUAUUGAUUGUUUAUUUUUCAUGUUUAGAUAAUUAGGAAAUAUUUAACAUAGGGUGUUAAAAAUGGUUAGUAGUAAGUAAAAACUGGUGAUGAGUUGCUUGGUUCCUCAACUCCUGAAGUUAGAGAGGACUGGUAAUCCUUUCAGGAUUUAACUCAAAGGGGUUUGUAUAUUUAAGUAAUGUUUACUCAAUACACAUGGUUUCCCACCACUAAUUCUAUAAUUCCAACAUAUCACCUAAGGAAAUCCAUGUAGAUGACACUAGAAAUGAAACCCUGGGACUAACUGAAGCAGGCUCAAAAGAAAGUGGCUUCUUAUCAAUGUACAGCUAAAAUACAUUCAAACGUAUUUGAAGCUGUUUUAGGGAAAGGCUACCAUUUUUAUCUAAACUAGUAGAUUGGUCCACGUUUAUAACAGGAGGCAUUUAUCAAAUUUAACUAAAGGGGUAAUUAUCUAUCAACUUCCCUGCAUGUUUUUCUAGUCACAUAAUAUUCCUUAUGUACUAGCUAUGAUUUAUAUAAAUUACCAUAUUGAUCUGUAUGUAAAUAUGCAUAUAAAGUAUGCCUUGAUAUAUUUUAAAACUUCUAAGAUAAUAUUGUAUUUAAUGGCCAUAACAACCCUUUAAAGAAAGCUGGACCAAAAAUAUAUUACCUUGUUUUAAAGUUAAGAAAAAAAUUUCAAAUUUUGAGAAAAAAGUAAGGGAAGAAGCCUGAAUUUGAAAUGUUUGGGACUUGAGCUGAAACAUAUCACCUUCAAGAUAACCAAAAUUCUCAUCCUUGUCACUGGUAAUGCCUGAUGGCAGAAGAGAGAAGAGUCAGAGUUGAUGAAAGGCAUACCUGUUCAUGUACAGUAAUUACUAUAUUUGGCAUUUAUUCAUUAACUCAUUAAUGUGUUUACAUACCUACUAAACACACGCCAUAAUGCUGAAUACUUUAAAAAGCAGAUUAUUGUCAGAUGUGUAUGAAAUCAUUCAUAAUCAAGAGUCUGAUAAUUAUAAAAGUACUUACUGAAUUUGUAAUAGCUAAAUUACAUAAUGAUUUUUUUCUGAUUUUAGGUAGGAGAGACUGAAACUGAAAUUAAUUAAAAGUUUAAGACACUAAGAAAUGAUAACAUCCUAAUCUUUAUUUAAAAUAUAUAAAAAUUUUAACCGCAUUUCUCUAGUGUGUAUGAUUACAAAACUUUAAAAGAAAGAAAACCAGUCUGCUAUUCUACCACUUAAUAAGAAUUGGUAUAACUUUGGCCAUUGCUGAUUGUACUUACAUUCAUCCUUCCAUCUUUAAAGAAAUAUUUUAUGAUUAUCGGAUAUAUGAGAUUUCUAAAUGCUCUGAGUUUUAAAGUCUAAUUUUGACUUGGUUUGCAAAAAACUAAAUUCACAACAAUUUCCUAAUUGUAAAACAAGAACCCUGUUUUGAGGAAAACUUCCCAGAAGGUUUGAGUCUAAAUUAAACAGAUGAGCAGUUCAUCUUAAUUUAAUUUACUAAACAAUUUCAUUUAGCAGUUCAGAGACUUGGACUUCUCCCUUAAGUGCAGUCAUUGGGAAAGAGUCUGUUGUUUGGUCCACUUUGUCUCUGCCUACAUUUAUUGGAUGAGUGCAUUCACUGCAAGAACUCAGAAAUACUUGUCACAAAUCCACUGCUGAAGGAUUCCGUGGCAAAUCAAUACAUAUUUUACUGUUUUACGAUUCAUCUGCUGUUAUUACACAGUGCAGAAAAUGAGCUCCUGUUCUCAUAUAAAAGCAGCAUAUUUGAGAGUCUUGGGCUUACUCAGAUUCUAGGUCCAAUCUUCUCCUGAAUCUGAAAGGAGUUCCUGAAUGUUUAGUCUGGUGAUCAUGCACUUCCGGAUCAGUGUGCUCAGAACCCCGCAGCUUCCCUGUCACCUGUGAGGUCAGGUAGUCCCUCUGUGACAUCUCCACUGCACAUGGGGAAGCAAACACAUGGACCAUCAUGUGCCUUCACCUACCACUAUCCCACAGAGGGCAGGAAAGAGUGCAGGAGUAAAGAAGGGAUUUUAAAAUUAUAUCUACAAUGUCCAAAAAAAUAUGAUUCUUAAUAUGCUAUAGAGCAUUUCUAGUGCCUGUAUUUACUUAUAAAGAUAAAUUAUAAUGAUAUUUGGUAAAUAUUUAUUUAGAUAUUAUUCCCUUCUCUUCUGAGACUGAUUUGUUGUGAGAAAUAUGAAGAGAUUACAAAUGCUUUAUAUUUUUAUAUAUAAUUAUCUAAUUAGAUAUAAGAUAUUUUAUUUCAUUCAGUAUUAGACUUUGUUUUACUGGAACAGCGAAUUUUAAUUCUCAAAAUAGCCCUGAGUGAUAAUACUAAUGUGUUGAAACUAUAUUCAGUCGAUUUUAUAAACUUAUCAAACAGUGGAUAUAACACCUAAGUUCUGAAAUGAUUUUUAUAAUCAGGUAAUUGUUUUCUUAAUGAGAUCAUGGACAAUAGCAAAAUAUGAAACUGUGGGUCCCUAAGUAUAAUGGUUAUUAUUUAUUUCUACUUGCUUUCACUGUACAGUAAAUUCCCAAUUUACAAAUGAGUUCAGUUCUAGGAGAAUGUUCCUAAAUUGGAUUCGUUCUUAAGUCUGACAAAGUGAGUCUUAUACACCUUUGACACAAAAAUACAAUGUAAAGCAUUAAAAAACCAAACACACACACACAAAUAUGUAAGUCUCCUAACUCACUGUACUGCUGUGCAGUAGCACACUCUACAGUGAGCACACAGUGGCACAACCAUGACAAUGUCCAGCAGACACGUGAGCUACAGUUUGAUUUAGUUCUUGUCCAACUCAGUUUGCAGCUAGAACCGUGGAAAGAAUCAAGUUCAUGAAGCUAGGUGCCACUCUCCCAUGAUUUGUUCAUAUAUAUCAAUGUUCAUAAUGUGAGAUCCAUUUGUAUCUGUGAAAGUUCACAACUCACACAUUCUUAAAUCAGGGAUUUACGGUACAAACUUCCCUUAUCAUAUAUUUACCCCACCUACAAUUUUAUGGCUUGGUAAUUUGGAAUAUACUUUCCUACUUUGAAACAACAAAGUGUUGAAAAAAGCAUUAUCUACUAAAUGAGCCGUUUAUCUAAAACAGGAUAAUUGCCAUAAUUAGCCAUAAAUUCAACUCUCUUUUCUACAUUGCCUUUGGAGAAAAUGUAAGCAUUACUUACAAAUGACAAAAUUUCCCUUACAUUUCAAAAUACACCUUCAUAUUGGGUUGAGAGAAAAACAUAUAAACCAAAGCACUUAAGUAUUUUUCAGUAAUUCUGGCUACACUCGGUGCCAAUAAUUUAUAUCUUAUAUUCACAAAAUAACACCCAAAGCUUGUUCCUAUUAUUAAAAUACGUCAUUCUACUUUAAUUUUUGACAUAUGAAAAUGUGCUGUUAAUAACUGGGGUAACAUAUUGUAUUGACUUUUAAUUGAAAGUAAAAUUGAAGGUUUACUAUCUCAUUCCUAUAGCCACGGAAACAUUCAGAUUUUUAUGUCACUGGUUACUUGUUCAGUAGAAUCCACAAUAGAAUAGACAUGAAUAAGAAUAAGAAUUAUUAGCUAAAAUUAUGCAGAAUUUAAAAAACUAUCCAUAGAUGUUAUAGUGAGCUGUGUGUUAAUAUCAAAUUACAUAUUUUAAGAUUCCCAUAGCAGUAGUCUAUCUCUCAGCUAAAAAGAUUCUUAAUGUUCUGCAACACCAAGAAGCCACCCUUUUUUAUUACAAAUUAGAAAACUAUAGAGCUAAACUAAUCAACUUUAAAUCAACUCAAUUGUCCAUGUUUCAAUGAGACAGUGUUUUAAAACUGCAAAAUAAAGGGUGGGGAUUUAGCUCAGUGGUUCUGCCCCUGCCUCGCAAGUGCAAGGUCCUAAGUUGGAUCCUGGUACCAAAAAAAUAAAAUAAAAUAAAAUAAAAUAAAAUAAAAUAAAAUAAAAUAAAAUAAAAAUGCAAAAUAAACCAAAAAUUGAAAUGCCCAUUGCCUUAUAAUCGGAAAUAGCCAGCUUUAAAUUCCAGCCAACCAAGUUUGCCAUUUCUGACUCGUAUUCUUGGUGGGAAGUUGGCAGGAACAUUUCUGUCUCUUAAACUGGCCUCGCACUAGUCAAUGUUUAUGAAACUCGUGUUGGCCUGUAAGCCACAGGAUGGGAAGAUGGGCAGCUAUGGUUCCAUUAAAACAUACCUAUAACCAGUAUUUUCAAACCCCAUGCACGGUGUGAAGCCACCCUUCCUUUCCAAAAGGAACUGUGCACUCCUCCCUCAGUUCUUGUUUUUUAUUUUCCUUUUCCAGUGUGUAAUGAGGGCCAAUUAAUUUGGGGUCAUAAGGGGUGUUUAUUCAUCAGCCUACUAUUAGAGACCUCAGCCUUCUCAUCUUAGAAAGACUAACAGCCCAUGAAUAGAACACUGCUACAUUCAAGUAACUACAAAAUGCAGAAAUUAUUUUACUGUAUUUUAAUUUAUUUUAUUUUAUUUUUUGGUAUCAGGGAUUGAACUCAGGACCUUGCACUUGCGAGGCAGGUGCAGCACCACUGAGCUAAAUCGCUAUCCCUAUUUUACUGUAUUUUAAAUCAUAACAAUAUUUCAGUGAAAAUAAAUUUUCAGUAACUUCACAAAAGUUCUACCAAAUUAAAGGUAUUGAAUUAAUACACCAUCCAGUAAACUAGUGGUGUAACCAUACUACAUAUUUUAAGUAAGAAAAGUAGAAAUAUCAGUAGUACAAGGUAACAAAGCAAUUGAAAUACUUUCUCAAUGGUCUAACUUGGCCCCUUCUUUUAGAAUCCUAUUUUGAUCUGCAAAAUCAAGGUUAAAAGCUUGUUAUGUAGAUCUUUUUCUUCUAAAUGUUUGAUUUCUUUUUCAUUCUCAUAUGAGAGUAAAUUUUUUAAUAUUAAUAUAUACUCUAUAUUCCUUAGCAGAUAAUGUGAGAUACUACAAAACACCUGAGAAAUUUUAAUAAUACUUGAGGUUCCAUAAACUUAAUUCUCAAAUGACUUCUUAGAGUUUAUUUAUCAAAUCACUCAGGGUUUGAAAGUAGCACAUAAGCAUUAAUUGAGCAGCCAUUAAGCAGUAUGUUUGCUUUUGGUUGAUAGAGGACAUAAAGCUUCGCAUCCUGUGGUUGUAAACAGUGAGGUCUUAUGCUCAUGCCACUAAACUUAAGCCAGUUUUGGUUUACAAAAUACCCUUUAACUGAAGGCAGGAGCCUCCCCACCUCAUAGCAAAUCAUACUUCUACCAUCUUGUCUCAGUGUGCUUUAUGCUAAUGGCAAUCGGUUGUCAGCAUCUUUAUUCCAUCUCAUAAAAAAAAAAAAAAAAAAAAAAAAAAAAAAAAAACUUCCUAAGAGACACUGAUCAUGGCUGGAGCACUGUUUUAAAUUAAAUUUUCUCUAAAACCCAGAAGAAUAUAAAAAGCCCUUAAACACAAAAAAGUGAGGUGGGUAAUGUGUUUUGUUUUGAGUAUGUUUGUUGUUAAAUUUGCCAUGAGUGAAUUGACACACUGGUGAGAUGACCAACAGAUCCUGUGGGUGGCAUUGCUUAAUGGCCUGAAGUCGUCCUGUUCCGCAGAGACUACAGUGCAGGUGUCAGAUAGAAAACCCCCAGACUGGGGUACGUCUGACACCAGUUAUCUGGAGGCUGGUAGUCUGUACAAGUGCGGGAGUCACUUCAUUCACUUGAGAUUUCAUUUAUGAACUCUGCUUAUAAGACAGGUGCAAAACACUUGGUGAACCCAAACAGAGCCCAAACACAGACGCUUGAAUGGGUGAAAGAGUGCUUAGAAUGGGAUGAGAGCUGAUGAGACACUGCAUUAAUGUCGAAGUGAGAAUCUCCAUCUUCAUAGAGCCUUUGUCUACAAAUGAUUACAGUCAUCCUUCCAAGUCUCAGCUUCUGCUAGGAGAGGGAAGCUGGGCUUUGUAGAAGAGGGCUGACAUGAAAGUGAAUCCAGUAAACACAUGUGGAAUGGUUGGGGCUGAAACGGGGCAGAGUGAGCAGAAUGUGAUGGAGCAGAACCAAGAUAAGCUGUUCCUGCCCCAAAUUCUCAUUAGUUCUAAAGCAAAAGGAUAAAUACAACCUGACAGGCAGUGAUGUGGAAGAUUCAAGAGAUGUUUCUCUUUUCUUUUUUAUACACUCUUGUAUUAAAAAAUAAUUUAUUACUCACAAGUGCAAGGACCCGAGUUCUAUCCCCGGUACCAAAAAAAAUUUAUUUAGAGUACUAUUACAGGGUAUAUGUUUGUUUAAUGAGCCAAGAAAAUAUGUAAGCUACUUCAGAGAGUCUACCUAAAUUUUCCACAAUGAAGGUGCAUCUUCCAGGGCCCUGCCUUCAGACAGACCUUUGAAAAGACUUGAGAUGAGUCAGAAAUAAGUUAUCAGUGCUCAGGAACACUGUGCCUCCUUCUGUUUAUCUUAGAGGAGUUGGAACCCAGGCAGCACAUUCUUUUGUGUUCUUCUUGAGUCUAACCCAUAUUAACAUCUUUCCAAAUGUGUGCCAAAGAAUUCCAUAUCAUCGUCCUAGCCAAUAUGACAAGCUCAUGGGAAUUUUCUUUCAGAUACACAAGAUAUUAUAGACAGACUGACCACGUGUCCGGCUUUACAAGCGCUAUUCCGGUAUAAUUAUUGCUAAUAGUACCUUUCACUUUCAGAAAUGUUUUGGUAAGAUAAUGAAUUAUGGCAGCCUUAGCUAGAAAUAAUAAUGAAAUGUUAUAAUAAUGAACCUUAAUUGAAUGGUUGAAUUUCUUAGACUUUGAAAAGCUGCCUUGUAUAGUAAAUUCUUCACAACAACUCAAAGAGGGAAGUAUUUUUAUUGUCACCGUUUACCUCAAGGAAACUGAGAGAUGAAGCAGCAUGGCCUACCUGCAUGGUGGGCAAGCCUGUAUCUCCAUAAAGAUCUGACCGUGUCACCUGCGGCAGAAGAUGGGGUAGUGCCUACUACCUUCCCAUCUGCCAAACAAUGGAAGUGACUUCACUUCAUUUCCUGUAGUCAAAGAUACAGUUAUUCUUCUGUUAUUCUUCUUAGUUGUAACUAUUUUUAUGAGGAUUAUGUCCGUGUGUGUGUGUGUGUGUGUGUGUGUGUGUGUGUGUUACUGGGGACUGGACCCAAGAAGCAUGGGGAUGUAUUCACACCUCUUUCUAUUUUUUUAUUUUGAGACAGAGUUUUUCUAAGUUGCCUAGUCUGCCCUCAAACUUGCAAUCCUCCUGCUUCAGCCACCCCAGUACACACUCCUGGCUAAGAAUCAUGUUGUUUAAACCACAGGAAAAGAGCACUGAACUGAACGAACUACAGUGUAGUUAGGUUGUACUUCAACAUAUUAAUGUCACUGCAUAAAUGAUAAUGAUUUGCCAAGAGACUGCUUUAUGCCAGGCAGCAUUCUAGGGAUUGGCCCCAUGUUCUACUGCUGAUGCUAAAAGAACCCUGCAUGGCAGCAGGUUUGAACCCCAUGAACCCUGAACAUGUAGGGAUUGUUGUAGCUGUGGUUCCAGAUGGGCUCACAGGUUAAAAGUGAAGAUGGAGGAUGAAAUCAUUUUAGCAGGCUCUCCACCCGCAACCACCUGUGUCCAGAUGUCUCACUGAGUAACUGACUGUCAGGAUAUGAGACACCGCAAGGAUGGAAAGGAAAAUCCUCGGGGACACAGGGACUUGUCUGCCACCUAACACAACACCUAACAUAUUAACUUCGUGCAUUGAGUGCUUAGUGAGGGAAUGUACUGUAUGUACUUUUAAUCUUUUCUUUGUUUUUCUCCUUUCCAUAGCCCAAAUAAGAAGAGAGUAAGGAUUUGAACCAGUGUAAACUUAACUGCACUAUGAUAGACAUUAUCUUUCUCUGAAAUUUACUAGGCAUUUCUCCAACUUCAAAACCUUUCUGGAAGACAAUCUUAAAUAAGGAUGAAUAAAUAAUAUUUUCUCAUUAUCAAAUUUGUUAUACCACUAUAUGAAGAAUAUGAAUAUAAAAACAGAGAAGGUAGAGGGCUGGGGAUUCAGCUCAGUGAUUCCACUGCCUGCCCCACAAGCACAAGGACCUGAAUUCGAUCCCCUUACCAAAAAAACAAAAAAAAGUGUAGAAAUUCUUGCAACUACAGACUUCACUGUGCUAUAUAUACCAAAGUAAAUACAAGUCUAUGCCUGUACACAAACAGUGAUUACAGCUCACUUUGGGAUAUAAGAAUAUAAAUGCACUAUGGGUUACAUGUUAUUAUAAACUGCCAGGUCAUAGAGUGUGAUAUGGAUCAUGAUUCUUAACUGGAUGUGCAUAUCAGUAUCAAGUGUGCUAUGUUUUAAAAAUCCAGAUGCCAGGACCCUAUCUGCAUUGAAUAGAUACAUUUCUGAGGUAGAAGCCUGGAAAUCUGUAUUUUUAAAACUCUCUAAGUGAUUCUGACAUGCACUGUGGAUACUCACUAGUGGAUUAAAAUAUAUAGAAAAUAUUAAUAUAUUAAUAGUGCACAUAUUUAAAGAAGUUCUUUUGAGCUGAGACUUUCAAAAGAUGGUAUCAUAGAAGAGAUAAGAUUUGAAUGGAAGUUCAGACAUGGACAGAAGGUAAGUGGAACAUGAUUUUUUCUUUUUUAGCUUAAAAUAAAAAUACAAUCUUGGCUUUAAUGUUUUUUCUGCAUUUUUGAUUCCCAAUUGGAUUAGAACCAAUCUGUUAGAUCCAUUGUUCUGAGAAAGAUCCUCACACUUAUACCAAUACAUGCCUAAAAGCAAAUUAUUUUGUAAUAUACCUAUGAUAGAAUCAAAUGAAAAUCAGAUUUAGCAUCCCCUGUGAAGGCUAAUAUGUUAUUAUAGAUUAAUAUUUAUAUAUAUAAUCAAGAAAUUUAAUCACAGCUAGUAACUACAAUUUAGACUGCAAACUCCCAAAGGGCGGGGCUUGUAUUUUAUUCAGUUCUUGAUUGUCAGUUCCUUAACAUGGAGAUUGUUAUCUAGAAUAUGCAUAAUACAUAUUUGUUGAAUGCAUGAGGCCUUCGAAUUUACUUAGUUUAUUCAUUCUACCUUGCUUGUGAGGCAAAUUGCAUCGACCUCCAUUGGAAGGUAAUAAAAUUUAGCUGUAAAAUUUUGGGCCGUUCCUUUGUUGUCAUUUUUUUUUUUAAUCUGCAACAAGGCACUGCCAAAGACUUCAGUCAUUAGUUCAUAAGAGUAAACUUUAAGUCUUCUCUUUCUCAGAAAAAGACUGAAGAGAAGAAGGAUGGGAGAGGCAAGGGCGUUCUUCCCAGCAUGUGGGCAUCCUUCCGCAUUCCAGCCCAGGGCCACUGUACACCCCUCUUCUCAGUCCUGUACCUCCUGGGGAAGCAAGGACGGCACUAGAACUCCCCAUAGGCAGGAGCAAGACUUGGACAUCUUCCCAGGCUUUCUGAGCCCUUCCUGCCAGCCCUGCAGUAUUGGAGGAGAGGAUUAUUUUGUCACUGUUGGGGUCUGGGCAGUUAGUGGAGCCUAAGGCACAGCCCAGAGGAUCACAGAGACUCUCCAUUUCAUUCUGCAGUGUAAAUCCCCACCACAAUGAAGCCCGGCUUCACUUGGCUUUCAAUGUGGUGGUGAAGGGGGGGCCUUGUAUUUUCCCAGUGGAACUGUAUAAUACAUUUGGAAACAUAUUCAUAGGGAGAAAAUAGUAGGGAAAGUACUGAAAAGAAAACAAAAUAAAGAUGGAAAAAGAAAAUGGUGAGCUGACCACAGAAAGCUUUGAUGUUAUCAUUCACAUAGCUCCACUUCGAUGAUUAAAAACAGCUGCUUAUCUUGGAAUUAGGAAGAUAAGAUUCAGGUAAGAACUGGAAGACAGCUCUGAGCAGAAGCUGCUAGCACCUUGUGGCACCUGCGGCUCCCCGCUGGGGCCAGCAAGGGAGCUCUGGCUGUGUGUCCACCAUAGUGGCUUCUGGUUCAGCUGAUGGCCCUAGGGUAGAAGGAUUUAAAAGAAAUAAAGGCCACCCUACCAAGGGACUAUUCAGUGACCCCUUCAUCUUCUGACACAUGGAAUUGGGAGUUGGAACUAACUCAAAACUUCCAAACUGCUGAGCAGCAUCUUAGUAAACAUAUGGGCUGCAAAAUAAGUGUAGGGAACCAAGACUUGGGAAACCUGAUACCUGCUCAGGGAAGGGACUUGCUGAGCCUCUUGGGAGUGGGGCACUUUCUGAGCUGGUGCUCCAUGAUUGCUUCAUCUCAGAGAAGCCUUGUAAUCAUGGGGAAAAGCAUACUGAAAAUCAGCAUGAUUACCAAUUCUUAUGCAAGAUUUAACAAAAACAUGAAGAAAUAGUUUAACUCACAGGGGUCACAUAAUAGUUCUGUAUAUUAAGUAAAAUUAAUUCAUGUUUUUAAUAAUAUUCCUAGAGUGGACCAUGUGGCCUCCAAUACUGUGGUCAUUUUAAUCAGCAGGGUGAGCUGAGUCCACUGGUCAGGCUCAGCAGCACCCCAUGUGUCCACUUCAUCCCUGCUGGGCUUGGUGACUUUACUUUGGUAGCAGGAAGUGGACAUUUGUGACUCCAUUUUUAUGCCAUGGACAUUGGCUACUGCUAUAAUCCAGGGUCUUGUUUUCUCUUGUAGAACACCUGUGAGCCAGUUAUUAGCACACCGCUGAAUUACACACACAUUUUAUAAGAAAAAGGGACCCAAUAUAAAUAGAAGUCUCUGUAAUUAAGAAUCUUGCUCACUGGUAAAUAUUUUAAUAAGACACUGCUUAUGAGAGAUAGCAUUAAGUUAGACUGUCUAGGUGCAAAUCUUUUAUUAGUUAUCAGUUAAUAAAAUCCCUGUGCCUUAGUCUCCUCAUACUUAAAAUGAGAACAUAAUAAUGCCUAUUGCAUCGGAUUGUUUUGAUGGUGAAAUGAGCUAACAUAUGUAAUACACUGCAAAAAACGCCUCGUGUAGGAAACAUGCUUGGUGAGUUCAUUCUAUUAACAUCAACAGGCUGUUUAGACUUCUCCUAAAACACUGCCUAAUUUCAGUGUUACUUUUCCUGUUGAGAUUUUAUAUCUUUUAGAAACCUGUACCCAACUUCCACAAGUUUGUGAAGAUCCAUUAAAUGGAAGCACGUCAAAUCACUCCAAAAUGCACAAAGCACUGAGUAAGUGAAAGCUUCAAUAAUUAUGUUAAAGGCACCAUCUUGAAUUUUGUUUAUACCACAUCUCUGAAAUGAGCAUCAGAUUUUUCUCUAGGCAAUUACUGUUUGUACAGAAACAAACACAGAUGGUACCCAAAAUUACUACUACAUCGUUCAAGCUAAGGCAUUUAUCAAAAUAUUGAUGGUCACUAAAUGUCCUCUGUACAUUUAGUACAAGUACUAAAUUUAGUAUAUACAAGCCCACACCUCAGUCAGACAGCACAGCAAUUUAGGCAGAUAAGCCUUUGCUAGAUAAUCCAAGGAUUUUCUGAUGUGUAGAAUAGCUAGCACAACAAACAGAAAAUCUUACAUGUAGGCAAAGUUUUGCGAAAUAGGAUGUUAACAUGAAAUUUCUUUUAGAGAAAAAAAUUGAUUUGUCUUUUCUGAUAAACAUUCCAAACAAAGAAAAAUUUAUUUUUGUGGUUGUGCAUGCGCAUGUUCCCAGUUUCCAUUGACCUUCUGGCUAAGCAAGGCAAGAAGGAGAAAUGCGUCUUGAGUAUAGAUUAAAGAUCUUUUAAGAACCCAGUCUUUGUAGUGCACCCUUCUUUUUAUGGGCAGGGUAAUCUUCUGGUUUCUACAACUCUACUCCCUUGGAUUUCGUGCUGCUUGGGGCCUGUUUGUCCUUGGAUCCUUUUCUGCCUGUCCCAAGCUUCCUUUUCCACUCCUCUGUCUCAGUUUCAUAGCUGACUUCAAGAGAGCCUUGGGCUAACAGUGGAGGUGCGAUUUCCCCAACCAGACUGCAUCUCCUUCACCUUCUCCAGCAGCAGCCACUCCCCUCCUGCUCCUGCUCACCUGGGUUCCAGUUCCCACCUUGUCACAGGUGUGUGUGCCCCCGAGCCUUCGGCUUGCUCCUGGCACUAAUUUCUGAGUUGUCCCCCUUUUCUCUGGUUUGCUUGCUCUGGAUCUCUGAUCAACCGUCUCCCACUUUGUGGAAUUCCCUGAGUCACAGUUCUCCCCUUCAAAUACUCCAAUCUUAUUUUCCUAGCUGCAUCCUGAUUGGUGCCAGUCCGGCACAGCAUCCUGCUCACACUGAAGUCUUGGGUAGCACAGCCCGGAGGCGAUGCCCAGUGCUCCUGCUGACCCGAGGACCUCUGGGGCCAGACCCCAAGGCUUCGACCCCCUUCCCAGCUCUCCUUCUCCGGUUCAGAUUCUACUUGAGCCCACUCUGCCCAGGAGAGACCAAGUAGUUUUCUCUGCCUGCUGACACUGACACCAGAAGACAUUCAAACAGCUCACUGGAUUGCUAGCCCAGCCCAUUGGUGGCAAACCUAUGGGACAUGUGCCCAGCCUCUGCCAUCAAUUAAGUAGAUGCCAUAGCUCUGACUUGUUUCCUGUAAAGGGGUGCCGGCUUUGUUUACUUCAUUUAGCAGGCUCUCUCUGCGCACUCGGUCCACUGCCUCCCACAUCGGUCCGUGGCAUUUGUUUAUUCUACCCAAUCACACGCAGAGCUCUGUGGUCAGGGGCACUUUUCCUUUUAUAUCUGCUCACAGCAGGUUCACAGUACAGGCUUGUGAGCUAAAUACAGUCUACAUUUCACCAGCAUCUGUGCUGAUUUCCGGUUCCUUGUCAGAGGGACAUGCUGUGUGCCCUCCUGCAGCUGCAUGGUGUGCACUGGAUCAUCCACUCAGGAUGUGCUCUGAGCAGGUCCUGUAUUCUAGACCGGAGAUACUGGGGGCCACUAGGGGCAGCACAAAGACUCCAAGGCCCAUUGCCACUUAUUUUAAAAGCAAGGGUUCCCCCUAAGCUGCCUCUCCCUGGGGACUGCCACUGUCCUUCUAGUGGUUUCCUGGACUGACAAUGCUCUGUGUCACAGAACCUGCUCAUCUUCUUCAUAGCAUUGCAUAUGAACUAUGUAUGGAAUAAGCAUAAAGGACAGGGAGAAAUUUAAAUUUAUACAAAUGUGUAGUGAAUACAAAGGGCACGUGUAUAAGUAUCAUACAGAACAGGCACCCUCUUGUAUGAGUGUGUGUGGGGGGGUGUUGUUAUGCUUUCAUUUUGUCUUUCCCUCUACAGAUUUUCUUUACUUCAGCUUCUUUCACUACUGAACACCAAGCCUAACACAGAGGCUGGCUGGCACACAGUAGGUGCUCAAAUGCUUGGUGAAUAAAUAAUAGAGAGUGGCUGGAUCAAGGAGAGCAAAGAACGCUUCCCAAUCAUUAAUUUAUCAGACCUUAAGUUUUCCUGAAUAAAAAAUGUAGAAAGGAGAGAACAAGGAAUUAUGUCAGCUUCUUUGGUCUAAAACAUUUGGAGAAUAGCUGGUCACAACCUAUUGUUUAGUAACCCAGCCUUACUCAGAAAUGCCAGUGGUUGAACUCAUGAUUUUUCAAACUUACUCAUUCAAAGGCUAUUCAUAUUCCCCAUAUUAUUUUAAUUCCUUUCCCUUAUCAGAGAGGCAGUACUGAGUUUCCUAUAUGAUUUAACUAUAUAGCAUACUAACACGCAUAGCCCAUGGAGAAAGAGCCCUCCCCCCUUGCCUGUGCUUGCCCCUUACUUUUUUAUUCUUCGUGAGCAUGCACAUUAUUUCAUUUAACAACCAGUUAAGAUGCCUUUAUGUGUCAGGCACUGCACUAGAGACCUGAUAUAAAAACAAAAACAAAAAUACAAAUCAAAAAGCAGUGAGCAAGACAGCAUCUGCUUUCAUGAAGCCUAGAGUGUAACGAGGGUUCACAGCAAUAAAUGGAACAUAUAUUAUGAUGCCAGAAAGAAAUAGAAAGCUUGAGACAAAAUAGUGGGCAAGCAGUGGCGAGGAGGCUCAGGGCUGCUAGGCCAGGGCAGAAGGCCUUCCUGAGGAGCUGACAUUUCAGCAGCGUCUAAGAAUAGAGGCAGCACUCACACUGCAGGAGAGGAGCCCCGUGGUGUGUGGUGUGGGCAGGCACACAUGCUGGGCUGUCUGCCAGUGGACACUUGUGAGCCCAGGAAGGAUGGUGGGAGCAGGGCUUGGGGGACAGCGCAGGUCAAAUCGUGCGUGGUUUUCUGAGCAGAGCACCACUAAAAGGUGGGGUAUGUGCCUGGAACCCAGCCACAUUGGAGGCUUAGCAGGAGGGUGGAGAGUUCAAAACCAGGCUGGGCAAUCUAGCAAGACCCAGCCUCAAAAUGAAAUGAAAAAAAAGAACUUGUACAAGAAGCUACAAUGAUCUGAUACAAGUUUCAAAAGACCACCCUGGCUGCUGGAUGGAGCACUAAUGGGAAGAGGACCUGAGUAAAAUGAGACAACCUGGCAGACUGUCAGAGUGGUAACUCCAGGGCAGGGAUGUGUCGUUUCCACCUGGAGAGCUGGACAGGAGGAUGUGCAGGCCGGAUUGGGAGGGAAGAAAGGGCUGCGUGUGACCCUGCAGUUUCUGUCUCGGGUGCUGGAUGAUAGUUCGCUUACUAGGGGCCCCCCAGCAGCUCUGUCUCGAUGAGGUUCAUGGCAUGGUCCUGUGACACCUGGUCAGAGAUGUGAAAAAGACCCCUGAUUACAGCAAUGUGACGCUGUGACAGAAAUGAGCCCGAGCCAGCCUCUGCUAGGUCUCACCUUUGGUCUGGGGAGAAAACUCAAGUUUUUUACACACACAUUUAUUUUUAAAUAGGCUGCACAGGCAGAUUUUCACACAUUGAAGAUUCGCUUGUUCUGCACACCCUGCAAAACCUCACCUCACAUCCGCAGCAGUAGGUAAGUCCCAGGUCAACAGACACAAGCUACUGCUGCCCGUUGGAGCUCUGUGACCAGAACACGCCCCCUCUCCAGUCCUGUUCUCCCCUAGACAUCCCCUGGUCCUUAGCACUUCUGCAUCUUAGUCUUCAGACAGACUCCUAUUGCCAUGGACUCCCCAGGGCAGAACUGUCAAAGUAGCCCCUGAUGGGUACAAAGUAGCCUGUGGGUGCUACUGCUACCUUGUGCUCAGGAUUUCCUCGAUCAGGCUCAAAACAAACCCCUGGAAAAGCUCAAAGGAAAACAAGAUUUUGCUCUGGAGCCACAGUAUUACCAGGAAAUAUUUAGCACCAAGAUUGCAUUAGGGCCAUGAUAAUCACUGAUACUACUUUAGGAGGAGUGCUCCAGGACUCUCUCUGAAGAGUUAAAAAUGUUAGAUAGGCUAACAAGGAAAACCCACAAAUGUAACCCCUCAGUCAAUCCCUGUGCACAUUUUCCUAUCCAGGCCACUCACUGGCUCUGAGACAGCCUGGCUCCUCCUCCCUCCACCCUGGGUUCUGUGUCACUGCUUUCCCCAUUAUUGAAAGUAUAGAUUAUGUGUCUGUCCCUACACAAGGCUGUCCUGGAAGUGAGACAUGUGCUCAUCUUUGAAUUCCAAAGACCUAGCAGGGCACCCGUAGAGUGGGAAAUUCGUGUUUCCUGGAAGGCUGAGUGAGUGUCUGGCAGCCUUAGAGAGGACAGAACAGGGCAGGGGUGACAAUGUGGACAGUAGACUUUGGUGGCUGGGGAACGUCAAGACUCCUCUUGUUUUCAUGAUGAUAGGAUUAUUAUCUGCUCUUGCUUCUCGAUCUGAAGUUAGAUUCUGCUCUCAUACUAAAUAAAACACUGGGUCACUGGUCUCACGUGUAUUGUACCACAGAAACUACAUAUGGGGUCAGAGAAUAAUACAAAAUGAUUUCAAGCAAUUAGAAUCAUAGCGAGCUUCUUAAAAAUUCAAGAUGUUAUAGUGCUAAUGGUGAGUGUAGAGUUUAUCUUACAGAAUUAUUAUACUAAUUUGGUUUUGCUUCUUUGCUUUAGGAGAAGUUUAAAGUAAAGAAAAAAUGAUAUUUAGGUCAAGUUGCAAAAGACAUGAACCUGAGUCACCUCUGAGAAGAUUUUUCCCUUCUUAAUUAGAAUCUUUUUUCGUGAUUUCAGAACUGUUAUCUUUGCAUUUUUAUAUAAUGGGUCAAGGCUAAUCCAAGUUAUUAUAGGUUAGAUCACUCUUCCCUAUUUUUUUUACUAAGGUACUUGUUCAUAAUUCAUAACUUGGCCUUUGAAAACAAAAACUAAUACUAGAGAAGUCUAUUACCUCUAUCAUGCCACUUAAUGUCUAAGGUAGAACCAGAGUUCAUUUUUUCUAUGAAGUCAGCACAAAAUAAGUAAAUGGAAUGCACACAGAAUUGGAAGCUAAUUGAGUAGUAUACUUAAAUGUGAAAAAGGUCUCUAGAUACAUGGUGAUCCAAUAUUUUGCACUCCCUUAACUAUGUUACAAAAUUUAUAUCACACUUACUAUAUAUUUAAUGAAAAUCUUUCAGUAUAAAAAUAAGUAGCAAUUCUUUGGAUAUUCACUCUGAGAAUAUUCACUCUGAGAAUGACUGUAAAUUUUUUAAAUUUACUAAGUACAUCUUAGAAUUGAUUUUAUAAAAUCUUUUGUGUCACAACAAAUACUGAACAGAAUUCAUUACUAUGGCACAGAGAGAUGGAAAGCAAAUGUCAGAGUUCAAUAUUUAUGUUAUAUAAUUAUCUAUGAUUAUAUAUAAUUUAUAUAAUCAUAGAUAAUUGUACAUUAACUUACAUAAACAUCAUGCCUUAUUGAAUUAUUGAUAUCUGUUUGUGAAAAUACUGCCUGAGGUUGAUCCCCCAUUUGAGAUAUGAAACAGGUAAAAUUAUAAAACAAAGUAUAAAAAUUUCCAUAUAUCAAUUUAUUGUUAUGAUCAGAUAACAUAUGGCAUAAUGAUUUGCCAUUUAUAGAGCACUUGAACCAUCAUUUCUUAAUGAUCUAAUUUUAUCCUUGCAUCAUAAAAGUAAAGGUUAUAAAAAUAACAGACAUUGCAUAUUUAAAUACAUACUGUACAUAUUAUUUUUCUCCUGUUCUUUCUUGAUAAAAAAGUUAAAUACAGAGGAGACUGGUGCCCAAUAAACUGCAGAGAGAGUGAAGUAUGGAUGACACGAACUUCAAGGACUUCUUCGAACUUACAGAAGCUAGGUCACAACUGCCAUAUUUUUCACAUAUUUAUAAAUUUAGGACACCAGAAGAAUCAUCUUCUUUAAUAAUGGACAAAUUGACACCGUGUAAUGAAGCAUCUCAUUGCAGUUACUACAUGCUACUUUUUAAAUGUGGAGCUGGGGAUGAACCAAGCACCUGGUCUGUGCUCUGCCAUGAGCUCCACCCACUGCGAGUCCCCAGUGUUGUCCUUUAAAGCAUAACUUAAAUAAUACCCAUAUACCUUUUUUUCUCUUUCCUUAUGACAUGAAUGAUCCUGUAGAAGUGAGAAGGAAUUUAUAUUUUUUUUCUUAAACUCACAAAAAGCAACACAGAAGGAAAAGGUCCCAGACCUCACAGGCAUAGACACCCACUGCGCAGAGCAGCCUUGGAGGCGUUGUGCACUUUGCAUCUGGGAGCCAAGGACCUUGGACACGCGCUACUUUAGGUACUUAGUGUCCCGGGCUUAUUUAGUGUUUGAUGUAGAGAAACAUUUACCUCUCUACAGCAUUGUGUGCUCAUUUACAUAAUAUUCUUGUAGCAGAAAACUACCGAGGGCAAAAUUAGGUGGCGUGGAAAUAGCAGUGCUUCACAGCUAGGCUAAUGGAAUUGCAGAGACCACAGCACACAGGGAGCAAACACAGUCCCUGCCUACAUGGAGGGACUCUUACUUUUCAGCUACCUUAUAAAUAGGUGUUAGGCUAUCCCUAUUUUACACCAAGGAAGCUAACACUCAAGGAGAUUAAAAAAUUUGCUAUAGUUUUACAAUUUUUAAAUGACAAACUGAAUAAAAACGCAGGAAACUGUUUAAGGCAUAAAAAUGUAUUUAUUUGUUGGAGGGAAUAUAAGGGACCUUCAGCCUAAAUAUUACAGUUCUACUUAACAUGGAUAAUGGAGUGCUAGUAAAGGGUAGGUAAAGAAAAGAAGGAUGAAUCAUUAUAAAAGGUGUUUGGAGCAUAAAAUGACUUUUUCUUUCCUUGACAUGUGUUUCUGAGUCUUUAAUGUGCUAUCAUCUUCCAGAAGUCGCCAAGAGACUAAUUUUACCAGCAUAUUUAAUCAUCAAUUCUGCCUCUUCCCCAUUCUGUCCACAGCAGCACCUUAUGGGAAGCAUUCUAGAAAAUGCAUUUGAAUACCUAAUCUGGAAUACCCCUAAGUUAAUACCCUGGACUCUGCCCAGGCUCUGUGGACAGCUCAACACCACACUUUCUUCAUGUAAACACUGCUGGCUACCCUGUCCCAGAAGAAAUUGUUCCUUUUCAAAUCUUUGUGAAAUUUCUGAUAUAUUGUAGUUGCAUAAUAUUUAGAAUACAAGUAUAGCUAGGGAAAUAGAAAUAUGUAUAGCACAAUAUACAGAUAUGUAUACAUGGCAGAAAAAUAUUCAGAUAUUCACAUAUGUAUGCAACACACAAAUCAGAGUUCGCACAUUCAAAUGUACUCUCUUAAGUGACUAUCUCAGGAAGCCAUGCAUUUCCCACAUAAUUUUAAAAAUCAAUUUUGCAGUUGGCUUUGGAGAACUACAUUUUAAGUAUUCUCACAAUUGCCUCAUCCUUGCAGAUUGGAAAGAUUUCUGGAAAGAAUCAAAACCAUAUGAAGCAAGUGGAAAUUGAAGCCAUCAACUAAGUCAAUUUUCUCUUUAGAAUCAGAAGGCUGUUCUGAGCACAGUCACGGAAGUGGAUAAGAAGAUAGAUGUUAGAACAUGAAGCAUUGUCUAAGGCGUGUAGGGUUGUCACAUGCCCACAUUUGGGAAGGAAAUGUAACUUCUCAUUUUUACUUAAGAAUUAUUUUUGGUAAAUUAAGUGAAAGUUAUAGAUUUCAACUCAUUCACGCAAUUUAUUUAAAUACGUGAAAUCACUAAGUGAAAAAAUCGGUAACAAAGGAAACAAUGACAAAUAACAUAAAUGUACUAUCUUCUAGGUAGUCAAGGCAAAAAUUAAAAAUUCACUGCAUAAAACAAUGAAAGAAAAAUUUCUUCAUUAAAUGAGGAAUGAGGAGUGAAAAUACCAUCUAUUUGAUUAUAUUUGUUAUUCUAUUUUUUAAAAUUGUUUUUAAAACCUCUUUGAGGUAUGUCCUUGAAACUCCAGUGCUUCCCAGACACAUUAAAUAAUAAAAAAGCAAAAAGAGUUCACUUUGGGUAGAUAUGCAUUUGAGUCUCUGAUAGACCAUUACAAACAAAGUACAGGGCAGGCCAGGGAUUUAGCUCAGUGGUUCCACCACCUGCAGAAGGUCCCAAGUUCAAUGCCCAAUGCCAAAAAAAAAAAGGAAAAAUGUACAUAAUGUGACCAAGAUUUAGUUUCCUCAUCUGUAAAAUUAUAGAAUUGAGAAGAUUAAAUGUAACAUACAAGGUCUUUAGUUCGAUCCCCAGCACCAAAAAUAAAUAAAUAAACCAGACAAACUGAGCUUUCAAAGUACUUAAUGUUAAUUGGAGAAAUGAAGUUCGUACCAUGUGCUAAUAUGUAACUAGAAAAAUAUCCAAGAAGAACUACAGAAAUUUGCAGAGAAAGAGGAUAAUUCUGAAAAAGACCAGAAAGACUUCAUAAUAAGAGAUGAAAGGAAAAAUUGGAAGUUAUCUCCAGUAGAAAUGUUUGGAAAGAGUUUAAAGAAUAGAAACAUCACAAACCAAAGAAGGGAGACUCCAAAGUACAGACUAUUUUCAGAGAUUUUCAAUUGGCUCAGCUGGUUUAAUUUCAUGUGUUAAAAAAAAAAAGCACUGGUCAGAGGGAAGGUAGACACAUAGAGCGAUUUGCAAAAUCUGGAAUAAUGGGUGAAUGGUGUUUAUUUAGACAGGGAGUGGUGUGGUAGAGAAGUGCUUAUAGAAAUCUAGAAGCUUCCCAUGGUGUUUGUUGAGCAGAGAAGUGAUUCCAAGUGAAAAGACUAAUGGAGAAGUUGUGGAAGCAACCCACAAGUCAAAAGAGGCACCCAGCAGUGGAAGGGAGGGCAUAAUGGUGACUGAAGGCUAAGUGAGUACAGGUCUUCUUUGGAGGUUCUGAUUCCACCAUAUCAAGCACAAGAAUGUAACUUGGAUUUUAUGCUUUCAAGGGAUGAUUUUUGAACAUGCUAAUAGGGAUAACCAAGGUUAGAGGCUUUGAAUCAACCGAAGGAGUCAGUAAGAAGAACUUGUCUAGGAAAAUGGAAACAAAAGUGGGGAGACAGCGAUGAGUAUGAGAAGAAGACUUGGUAGUAACUAACUCUAAAAUUCAUAUAACUGGUCCAUCUUUGACUACUGUCUUUCUUUACUCUUAGCUCUUAGAUGAUGUCUACCCCAGAUCAUAUCUGUCUCCACUUCCCUGAGCCCUGUGUAUUUAUUAAAGGAAGAUUUUAUUCACAUCAGCUCUAGUCCAUGACACUGAGGAGUGGAUCCAGUUCAGCUAUCAAUGAAAAAUGAAUCUAUCCUUCCUACAGGGCUGUUAGUCACAUUCAGGAUAAGAGAAAUAAUAGGAAGCAGGGACCCUUGUCAAAGGGGGAGGGGAUCAAGAGGUUCAGGGAAGGAGGAGAGGUGGGAAGGAAAAGGGAUGAGAAAAGGAAUUAAGAUGUGUUAUGUACAUGUACCAACUUCAUACAAGGAGUGUAAACCUUACAGACUGCAAACACGUACAGUACUAAUAAAUUUUCUUAAAAACAGGGGAGAGAAUAUAUUCUUUUGGGUUAGUGACUAUCUAUGGUGUUUGCCCUAGCAUCCUUUAAACCAGAUACUGUGAGUCAUAAUGCUGGGGUCCUUGGAAAAAGAGAAGUAAAAAUUCAGUAGGUUUCUGUGGCAUAUGAAGCAGUGAGACAUUAUGCAACUGAGGGUGGGUUCUAAGUGAUGAUUGUGUCGGGUGUUGGGUUAAACACAGCGAAAUAAAAAUGUGCAAAGUCACCAGAGUCUCUUGGAGUUAGUUACUUAAAUUCCUGGAUAGUUUCCCGCUGUAAGAAUGACUGACAGAUUGCUCCCCAACAACGCUAUGUAUUUUAAAGUUCUUUUCAUGAAAAUAUUUACACCUACCUACAUUGAAACAAUAUAAUGAACAAUAUAUACCCUUUGCUUUGCUAAACUGAGUAUCAAUAUUUUGCCAAAGGUUAUAAACUUUUCUUGCCCUUAUACAUUUUUUAGUAUUUUAAAGCGAAUACUAAACAUGCUGUUUAAAAGCUAUUUGGUAUGCAUCUCUAACUAGUGAGAACUGUCUUUGACAUAACAGGCAUGGUUUUGUCACACCACAGAUCGUUAAUAUUAUAUAGUGCACAUUCCGCAUACCCUUUUCUCUGACUGUACUAAAGAUGUCCCUUUAUAGUUAUUUUGUCUAAAUCAGGAUCCAAACAAGGUCCACAUAUCAUUUUUGGUUACCAUGUCUGAAACAAAUGAUGGAGAUGUUAUUUGGUUAUUAUGUUGGAAACACUCCGGUGAUUUUUUUUUUCCUGAUAUGUACAGUAUUACUGGAAAAACACUUUAUUUCGUGUUUUAUAACUACAUUGUUAUAUUUUCUACUUUGGAAGUAACAUUACAUAUUAUAUAUCAUUCAACACUUAUCCAGCUACUGCAUAAUGAACAAUUACUAUAUGUAGGACAUUGUAGUGGGUGCUGAGUUUGAUGUGAAAUGUCUAUAAAUUAUAGUUCCUACAUUGAAGUUUUUACAUGAAGGAAAAAUUGAUAUAAAAAUGCAAAAUGAUAAUGACAAAAAUGGCAGUAUAAGUUACUGAAGUGGUAAAGAUACUGUGGGUUUAUAGGCAGAGGUAUGGCUUGGAAGAUAAGUCUUUUUGAAAAGUUAACAAUUUAGAUGGAUGAGUUAGAGACCAGCAAUUUAAGGAAGAAGUUGGAGUGGGAGGGAAGGAAAAGCGAAAGUUCAUUUUAUGAAUGGAAAACUAGGGUGGAAAAGAGACAUAAGGCUUACACAUGGAGAGAAAGAAAGGUACAUAGGGAUAUAAGUAAAACAAAUCAAUGAAAUCAGAAUAUUUGUGAAAGAUAUGUGUAGAGGGUACAUAGGGGGAAGGUUGGUAGGACAGUGGGUGGCAGGAUCAGUAGCUUGAACAUUGUCCUUUGGAACAGGACCACUAGCUCCAUUCAUUUUUCCAUAUAUGGGAGACUAUUGCACACUAUGUAAACAUAGAUCUUUCAUUAGUAAGCAAAAUAUGCUGGCUCAUUUCAUAAGGGAACUUAAGAAACUGUUUAUGUAUUCCAAUAGCAAUCAUUUUCAAAUAUUUAUAGAAAAUUGGCAAGAUAAUUUGAUGUUUUGUUUUGCCCAAGAGCUAGAUACUCCAUUUAGAGAAAUACAAACAAAUUGGAGCAGAUUUAACAACACCCACUACGAGCAGCUGAGAGAGCUUCAUAAAGCAAGAUUUAAUCGUAGCACAAUAUAAAACAACAGCUCAACAAAUUCAACAAAAGAGAGAUAACCUUAGUAAAGACAUACUAGCUCUGCAAACCUUAAACUCUAAACUUUCUAUCAGUAAUAAAAUUACAGUGACAUUUGUAAUAUGUCUGUUCUUCUGUGUAUCAAUUAAAAUGUGUAUUGACCUAUAAAUUCUCUCUUUACCAGAAAAUCCUAAUUGAUUUUCAUUAUUAAAAAAUUCUCCAAUGGCAACUGAAUUAUCAAGGUCAUCAAUGAAAGUACACAUUGAACAUAACAUAGAUUUAUUGGCCUGUAUUCCAGUACAGAUGAUUAAACAUAUACAAAUAGAAAUCAAAUUACAGACUGGAUGAAAAUAAAGUCAGCUGGAUUAAGCAAGAGCUUCUAAACAGCAACACUAUGACUGUGGAUCAGAUGCUUCUUAGAGGUACUUUCCUCCAGAGAAUUCUGUUCAUCUUGGAAGACAUUGCAAUCUCCAGUGGUUGGAGCUAGGUCUUCAUCAAAAAAGUAUGAUUCUCCUGUGCUUUUGCUCUACCUGCAAAGCGUGUUCGAUUGGCUCAAACUAUAGUCAACUUUGAUCACCUGUGGUCCUCAUUUCCCUGUCAUACAUUUGUAAAAUGUUUAAAUAAACAAGUGUUUAAAAUAAGUA